UACGUAGGGUGCGAGCGUGUCCGGAAUUAUUGGGCGUAAAGAGCUUGUAGGCGGUUUGUCGCGUCUGCCGUGAAAAUUCGAGGCUCAACCUCGAACUUGCGGUGGGUACGGGCAGACUAGAGUGUGGUAGGGGAGACUGGAAUUCCUGGUGUAGCGGUGAAAUGCGCAGAUAUCAGGAGGAACACCGAUGGCGAAGGCAGGUCUCUGGGCCACUACUGACGCUGAGAAGCGAAAGCAUGGGGAGCGAAACAGG
rnacentral:rRNA from 1 species